rfam:Gossypium arboreum cultivar AKA8401 contig_14848_5, whole genome shotgun sequence.
AUCCUGUGGUGGGGGAAUUUACGAAGUAACUCCUUGAAUCUUUCCAAUGCCUUGUAAAGGGAUUCAUCAUCCAUCUUUUGGAAAGUGGUAAUCUCAUUCCACAAUUU